rnacentral:sRNA from 1 species
GCAUAUCACAGAUAUCAAUUAUUUGAAAGAGAUUCAAAAAUUGAUGAUCUAGUUUGAGUGAGAGUUGUAAGAUGGAUAUAUUUUUUGCAUGCAGCAUUACUCAGUUCUCUAUUUUAAAGCUUUUUGAUAUAUGAUACUGAUCAUAAUACUUUUUCUCAGCUGCUUUGACAGCUUUCAGAUAUUUUCAGAUCUUAUUCUCUGCUUACUUUAUCUGUUUCACUUAUUUCAUCACUGAUUUUGAUACAUCCAUGCUUGAGAGUUCCACAUCUAUGCAAAGUUCAGUUGGUCAGCCAAUCAUUGCUUCAGAUGAUGUCAUUUUUAUCAAUGUGUGGAAGAUGUUGUUAUAUGCUCAUUGUGUC